rnacentral:misc_RNA from 1 species
GCCCAUACUUUGCAGAAACUCAUGAUUGAAGUAGAUUAAAUCCACUUCUUGAAGCUCAUUUCUGGCAAACGCAAGGCCAUACUCGUAGGCCAGUGAGGGCUCAAGGCCACUUCUUGAUAACCAAGAGAACCAAUCCAUGGGUAGUCUUGAUUGUGCCAUAUGAUACAAGAAAACAAGACGGUCAUGUGCUAAUGAUACGAGAUAUGCUUUUCAUGUGAGGUGGUCCUUGGACUUAUACAUAACAUGGAGACAAGGAGAGAGAAGAGUAAGUAAAUGUGGUCAGGUAAAUUGAAAUUGAAAGUAUUAUAUUUUAAUUGAAUUUGUAUGGUAGUUGUGAUUGGGAGUGGCAACAACAAAUAUGGACGUUGAGGUCGGUAACUUCCGUACCUCAUGCCCAAUAAUUAGGUUUUAAU